GGAAGAGCUCGUGGCAGAGGCAGAUCAGAUCGGACUUACGGGAGUUAUGAUCCAAGCGUGUGUUACAAUUGUGGACAACAAGGACAUUGGCGAGCAGAGUGUCCUGAGCACAUGAGGAUGAGACACAUCACACGUCUGACUGAGGAAGGCAGAGGGAGGGGCGGACCCCAGAGACGGAGCACCCCAUCACGGAGGAGAAACACUGCACGAAGAGGUGAAAGCGGCGCUUCCAUCCACAGCUACAGCAAUGCAGCACCACCUGAAACCAGGAGACUGGGUCCUCAUUAAGGAUCACUGGAGGAAGCACUGGAAGCAGAGACGCUACACGGGGCUCUUCCAAGUACUCCUGACCACGGAGACGGCAGUUAAGGUGGAAGGGAAAGCGACGUGG
ensembl:lncRNA